UUUAGGUGUCCUUUAACAUAAAUACUGUGUGUUUUAACUUCGAGCCUUGAAAAACAAAUGGCGGAUUUAUCUUUUCCUCAAUCAGCAAUGGAAAACCCUAAAACACCACUUUCAACGAUCUCUACUUUCGUUCACCAGCAUUUUAUGCGAUUAGGGUCUGAAUUUUCGAAUCGAUUUGAAGAAGGAAAACGAUUUGUCGUAGAGAAUGUGGUUACAAAAUUUCCCCAAAAGCAUCGUUCUGCACUAUCUCAAUUUGCUUCAGUGAAUCAAGAAUUAGGGUUUAAUACUCAUCACCAUCCUCAAGCUAAACACGCAUUUGAUAUCGCUUUAAGUGCUGAUUAUGUGGCUAAAACAUUAGCUGGAACUUCUGUUUAUACUGUUAGCAAUAUGAAUAAUGAAUUUGUUCUUAUUUCGGAUCCUAAAAGUGUUAAAUCAUUAGGUCUCCUUUUUUUCAGACAAGAGGAUGCCGAAACCCUUCUUGCCCAGGUUCAGUUAAAGCAACCUGGUUUAGGGAGAGGAGCUAGAGUUGUUCCAAUUACACUUGAUCAGGUCUAUAUGUUGAAGGUUGAAGGAAUUGCAUUCAGGUUUCUCCCUGAUCCAGCGCAAAUAAGGAAUGUGUUAGAGCUCAAAGCAGCAGAUCUUAAGAGUGGAUUUGAUGGGGUGCCUGUGUUUCAGUCAGAUCUUCUGGUUGUGAAAAAGAAGAACAAACGCUACUCCCCGAUAUACUUCCAAAAGGAAGAUAUAGAAAGAGAGCUCUCGAAAGUCUCUAGGGCGUCAAGAGGAUCGGGUGUUUCUCAACACAUUAUGGUUGGAAGUUUGGAAGAUGUGCUGAAAAAGAUGGAGGUAAACGAUAAAAAUUCGGGCUGGGAAGAUCUGAUCUUCAUCCCACCUGGUAAAAGCUAUUCCCAGCACCUUCAAGAAGUGGCCUCAGCAUAAUUUUGGACCUCUAUAUAUCUUCCAUCAGCCAUAUUAAGGAUCUAGAGGCAGACAACUCCAUUGCAUAUUUAAGGCCCCUAUGAAGGAGAAACUGACUGAAGAAAGGGAGAGAACGGUGUCAGAAAUUGUGGUUUAUACUUACUGAAUAUUAACCCCAGUUUUCUGUUUGAUAGCAUCUGGAAUACUACCCUUGAGGUUAUUGUUCUGGAGGAAUCUGUUUUCAUCAGACAAGGAAAGAUUAUUCGUUCUGUCAAGCAUGUGCUAGAAGCAGAGUAGAGAUGGCAUCUUGAAUCCAGAAACAGAAAAAACUUACAUCUCUUGGAGCUUCGGCAGUUUUCCAAGUGAUUGAGGAAUCGAUCCCUCAAGUGCGUUGUUGUCCAAAUGCCUUCUCAUUGAGUUAAAGAAUUUUAAAAUCAAAACCAGAUGAAACCAACCUUGAAAGAAAAGAAAAAAAAAUAGGUGUACUGUAAAAAAUAAACUUACAGGGAACCCAAUUCUUUCAAAGAACCCAUGUCUGGAAUAGAACCAGAGAGUUUGUUUCCA